UAGGCUACGUAACUAUGUGUGUGGAAAACAUUUAAUCACAGUGGAGGGGUCUUGCUGGAGCCUGGCCUGAGCAAAACAUCCUGCCCAGGCACUCUACGACCAUAUUUGGAUAAGAAGACCAAGAUCAAAAGUCUCACAGACACCACACACAUGGCUACCAUGGUAACGACAUGAAAUAAACUAGGCCCUCUCUGUGGAGGAAUCUGA